rnacentral:rRNA from 1 species
GAUGAACGCUGGCGGCGUGCCUAAUACAUGCAAGUCGAGCGAACAGAUGAGGAGCUUGCUCCUCUGACGUUAGCGGCGGACGGGUGAGUAACACGUGGAUAACCUACCUAUAAGACUGGGAUAACUUCGGGAAACCGGAGCUAAUACCGGAUAAUAUAUUGAACCGCAUGGUUCAAUAGUGAAAGACGGUUUUGCUGUCACUUAUAGAUGGAUCCGCGCCGCAUUAGCUAGUUGGUAAGGUAACGGCUUACCAAGGCGACGAUGCGUAGCCGACCUGAGAGGGUGAUCGGCCACACUGGAACUGAGACACGGUCAAGACUCCUACGGGAGGCAGCAGUAGGGAAUCUUCCGCAAUGGGCGAAAGCUUGACGGAGCAACGCCGCGUGAGUGAUGAAGGUCUUCGGAUCGUAAAACUCUGUUAUUAGGGAAGAACAAAUGUGUAAGUAACUAUGCACGUCUUGACGGUACCUAAUCAGAAAGCCACGGCUAACUACGUG